rnacentral:rRNA from 1 species
GAUGAACGCUGGCGGCGUGCCUAAUACAUGCAAGUCGAGCGAACGGACGAGAAGCUUGCUUCUCUGAUGUUAGCGGCGGACGGGUGAGUAACACGUGGAUAACCUACCUAUAAGACUGGGAUAACUUCGGGAAACCGGAGCUAAUACCGGAUAAUAUUAUGAACCGCAUGGUUCAAAAGUGAAAGACGGUCUUGCUGUCACUUAUAGAUGGAUCCGCGCUGCAUUAGCUAGUUGGUAAGGUAACGGCUUACCAAGGCAACGAUGCAUAGCCGACCUGAGAGGGUGAUCGGCCCCACUGGAACUGAGACACGGUCCAGACUCCUACGGGAGGCAGCAGUAGGGAAUCUUCCGCAAUGGGCGAAAGCCUGACGGAGCACCGCCGCGUGAGUGAUGAAGGUCUUCGGAUCGUAAAACUCUGUUAUUAGGGAAGAACAUAUGUGUAAGUAACUGUGCACAUCUUGACGGUACCUAAUCAGAAAGCCACGGCUAACUACGUG